GAUGAACGCUGGCGGCGUGCUUAACACAUGCAAGUCGAACGAUGAAGCCCAGCUUGCUGGGUGGAUUAGUGGCGAACGGGUGAGUAACACGUGAGUAACCUGCCCUUGACUCUGGGAUAAGCCUGGGAAACUGGGGCUAAUACUGGAUAUGACUUCUCAUCGCAUGGGGGGGGGUGGGAAGAUUUAUUGGUCUUGGAUGGACUCGCGGCCUAUCAGCUUGUUGGUGAGGUAAUGGCUCACCAAGGCGAUGACGGGUAGCCGGCCUGAGAGGGUGACCGGCCACACUGGGACUGAGACACGGCCCAGACUCCUACGGGAGGCAGCAGUGGGGAAUAUUGCACAAUGGGCGCAAGCCUGAUGCAGCGACGCCGCGUGAGGGAUGACGGCCUUCGGGUUGUAAACCUCUUUCAGCAGGGAAGAAGCGAGAGUGACGGUACCUGCAGAAGAAGCGCCGGCUAACUACGUG
rnacentral:rRNA from 1 species